rnacentral:tRNA from 1 species
AGGCUUAGUACAGUAAGGACUGCUAAUCCCUACAUCCAUGGUUAACCACAAAAAAUGUAUGGGAGGUCCCACCUGCCCGUGAUGC